AGCGAACGCUGGCGGCAGGCCUAACACAUGCAAGUCGAACGGAUCCUUCGGGAUUAGUGGCGGACGGGUGAGUAACACAUGGGAACGUGCCCUUUGGUUCGGAACAACUCAGGGAAACUUGAGCUAAUACCGGAUGUGCCCUUCGGGGGAAAGGUUUAUCGCCAUUGGAGCGGCCCGCGUCUGAUUAGCUAGUUGGUGAGGUAAAGGCUCACCAAGGCGACGAUCAGUAGCUGGUCUGAGAGGAUGAUCAGCCACAUUGGGACUGAGACACGGCCCAAACUCCUACGGGAGGCAGCAGUGGGGAAUCUUGCGCAAUGGGCGAAAGCCUGACGCAGCCAUGCCGCGUGAAUGAUGAAGGUCUUAGGAUUGUAAAAUUCUUUCACCGGGGACGAUAAUGACGGUACCCGGAGAAGAAGCCCCGGCUAACUUCGUGCCAGCCGCCGCAGUAACAC
rnacentral:rRNA from 1 species